rnacentral:rRNA from 1 species
GAUGAACGCUGGCGGCGUGCCUAAUACAUGCAAGUCGAGCGAACAGACGAGGAGCUUGCUCCUCUGACGUUAGCGGCGGACGGGUGAGUAACACGUGGAUAACCUACCUAUAAGACUGGGAUAACUUCGGGAAACCGGAGCUAAUACAGGAUAAUAUAUUGAACCGCAUGGUUCAAUAGUGAAAGACGGUUUUGCUGUCACUUAUAGAUGGAUCCGCGCCGCAUUAGCUAGUUGGUAAGGUAACGGCUUACCAAGGCAACGAUGCGUAGCCGACCUGAGAGGGUGAUCGGCCACACUGGAACUGAGACACGGUCCAGACUCCUACGGGAGGCAGCAGUAGGGAAUCUUCCGCAAUGGGCGAAAGCCUGACGGAGCAACGCCGCGUGAGUGAUGAAGGUCUUCGGAUCGUAAAACUCUGUUAUUAGGGAAGAACAAAUGUGUAAGUAACUAUGCACGUCUUGACGGUACCUAAUCAGAAAGCCACGGCUAACUACGUG